rnacentral:sRNA from 1 species
GUGGUGGGCGCCUGUAAUCCCAGCUACUUGGGAGGCUGAGGCAUGAGAAUUGCUUGAACUCGGGAGGUAGAAAUUGCAGUGAGCUGAGAUUGUGCUACUGCACUGCAGCCUGGGCAACAGAGCGAGACUUCGUCUCAGCCCCCCACCCCGCCCCCCAUAAUUAGCCGGGCUUGGUGGCUCACGCCUGUAAUCCCAGUUACUUGGGAGGCUGAAGCAUGAAAAUCACUUGAACCCGGGAGGCAGAGAUUGCAGUGAGCCAAGAUUGCGCCACUGCACUCCAGCCUGGGCAAUAGAGAGAGGCUCAGUCAAAAGAAAAAAGAGAACCUCGGUGUCAGUGGACUUGGGUCACCUUUGAUUUUCACCUGGAGGAGUCUGAAGUGGCCAGGGAGAGGAUAGUGGACCUUUACUGUGUGUGUAGGACCUUUACAGAUCUUAACCGUAAAUGCAAAACCCCAGAAAGAGCUAUCAGAAACUUUCAGGCAUUUGCAGAAAAAUCUACUUUAUUCAGUGCAGUACCACCUGGAAAUUUCAAUUAACCAUCCUUCAGCAACAGGAUCCCCUGGUUGGUCAGCCAUCAGAAGCCCUGGUUGGUCAGCAUUCCACCAAUAAGAAUUCCUGGUUAGCCGGCACUCCACCAAUCACAACCCCUGGUUAGCUCCCAUUCCACCAAUCAGAAGUCUUGGUUAGAAUGCAUUCUAUUAAAGGACUCUGUCGGCUGGUUCUUCCAGGGCAAUUUAGGUGAGUUAUAGUUGAGGGUCUUGGUGGCAGAUUCAGGUCCCCACGAGGAACUGUACCUUUGGGGGGAAAUUUGCUUUCUUGGAUUUAAGAAAGUGCUUAACCUAAGUUAAGCACUAGGUUAGCCAGCAGCUGGUUUCUGAGCCAGGAGACUGGGCUGAUGGCUUUGGAGAGGAAGGAAGCAGGACGGAGAAUUGGAGAAGCUGGGCCGGCAGAUUCUGGUGCAGAGGAGGAGGCGACACAGGCCCCUGAUCCCAGCCCCAGCUCCUCCUCCUUGUGAGAACUUCCGGCUGGGGUUUUCGGGACUGGGGUCUGGUGGUCUCCUUUGGUCUCCCAGUUAGUGGGCUGCCUUGCGGGCAAGGGAAGGAAAAGGCUGAGGGUCAGCUCCCAAGAGCAGAGGAGUUGGUGGGACUUGGGCCGGGAGGUGCAGAAGGGUGCAUCUAGCUGCACCCUGCCCUGCCCAGCUGCUGGGUGUGAACUUGGGCAAGUCACCUCACUUGUGGGCUUGUGGUCAGAAGGGCAGGGGUGAUGGCUGAGCUUGCAGUCACAUACCCCCUUCUGGUAAGUGGCCGGCUGUGUGAACUAGCGGUCAGUAGAGGCGCUUCAGUGGGUUGGCGUCUGCAGGUUGCUGUUGUGCCCAGUCUGGCUGCUUGACCUUGGGAUCAUCACCUUCCUUCCCACGACCCUGCAUUGCUUGCUCACGGUAAUCUCGGCCACCCCACUGGGUUUCUGUGAGAAUCAGGCAGGGAAAAAUGUAAACGAGGUCUGUGAAUAAUAAAAAGAGUUACACGAUUACAGCGAUUUCCGAAUGCCUGGUCCUUUUUUUUUUUUUUUUUCUUUGAGACAAGGUCUCACUCUGUUGCCCAGGCUGGAGUACAGUGACAUGAUCACAGCUCACUGCAGCCUCAACCUCCUGGGCUUAUUACAUCCUCCCACCUUAGCCUCCUGAGUUGCUGGAACAAUAGGCACAGUCUACUAUGCCUGUCUGAUUUCUUUAAUUUUUUCUAGUGAUAGGGUCUCACUAUGUUGCCCAGGCUGGUCUUGAACUCUGGGGCUCAAGCGAUCCUCCUGCUUUGGCCUCCCAAAGCGCUAGGAUUAUAGGUGUUAGCCACUGUGCCCAGCCCAGUCGUCUCUUUUACAGGGAUAACUGUCACCUGCCGGUUGGGGCAUCUGGCUCUGUGGGAUGGUCAGAGCUCAUUCUGCCCUAUGGCCUGACACCUGCUCUGGGGUCAGGGUUCACGCCCAGUGCUUGCUGCAGCUGGUCCCUACCCAAACCUCUGUGCCCCCCUCUUUACAUGGGAGUCUUCAGGCCACCUGACUCAGGAAGAUUGUGACAAUUCAGUGAGAAAAUUCUCGCCAAAAACUUAAAAAAAAAAAAAAAGUAUCCCUCUGUUGUGGACCCUCCAGGAGGGCCAGCUUUCAGGUGGUCCAAGGCUGGACUUGGUGCUCCCUCUUCACCCCCUGGUCAGCUCUGGCCUUUGGGCAUUGCCAGGAGGGACCCAGGGACUGGGUGGGUGGGGGUCUCUCCCCACAUCUCUCCUGAGGGGGAUGGCGAUGCCUCCAGAUUGCACUUACCUUGUGUUGUGGCUUCCUAUGGACAUCUCUUCCCACCUCUUACCUCCAAAGAUCCCCAGCUUUAAGCCACCCACUGCAGAGCAGUCCUGGUCCCCUUGGUCUGCUGGCCUCUCAGAGAUGGUAUGGUAUGGUCUGAGGCUGUGCCAGGCCUGGGAUCCUGGACUCCGCCCCAAGGCUGGGCCACACAGCCGUGCAGCAGGCCUGCUCCAGUCCCCCUAUCACCUCCACUUCAGGGCAGGGGAACGGGGAGAAGUGAGGGCACUGACAUCCAGCUGACUGACCCUAAAACCAUCCUCUCUCUGCCCUGCACCCUAAAGUCUCUCAUGGAAAGUGGGGGGCCCGGGCCCCUUUUGCAGCGCUGACAUUUCAAGACCCUGUAAGCGACUUGUACCCUGGGUACAGGCCCUGGGCCUUUGGGUCCUGAUGGAGGAGGGGGCUUGGCUUGAUGAGGACGGAAGGAGGCUGAUUUGCAUCCAGACUUCCGGCGUCGGACACCUCUCUAUUGGGAGAGGAAGCUGAGGCUGGAGAAGGGGCAGGGAUGCGUCCAGGGUCCCACAGGGAGCCAAGGCUGGACAGAUGGGCAGGCUGGGUGGGGCCAGGAAGGCCACGGCUGUUUCCAGCUGUUGCAGAUGUGCUCCCUCCUGGGUCCAUGCAAACUCCUUUCCGCCUGCGGGUUGGCGAAGGGGCCAGGGCACACAGCAGGGGAGUUAGACUUGGCAGCCCCUUGACCCCAGACUGCCCUCGUCAAUGGAACAGGAGCUGCUCAGAACCCUUUUCCUGUUCUCCCAGAUUCAGGGGCAUGAGCCCCCUUGGCCCAGUCCUGGAACAGGGCACCCCGGGAGGGCCCCUCAGGAAGAGGCCGGGGCUGCGGCUUCGGGUGGGGCCGGCAGCCUCUGCUGGGAGCCCAGCAUCUGGAAGCCAUCAGGCCAGGGGCGGGGGGAGUUGCAGGGGAGGUCCAGGGAGGGGGACAUGCCUCCUCCAGGCCACACACAGGCCCAACCCUCGGGAGCAUGGCCUUGGGCCCACAACCGCUGCCUCUGCACCCUGGCCGGCAGCCUCGCCCCCUGGGGCACACGCCCCGCCCUCGUCCGAAGCCACGCCCCCAGUCAGCAGCCACGCCCUCUUCCUCCAGGCUGCCUUCUCACCGCACUGGCCACUGCUUCUGCAAGGGUCAGUAGCGCUCCCCACAGCAUGGUGGGAGCCUCGCUUCUCCGGCACAGGGUGGGUCUGUCUCUUGGAGUGGGUGGGCUGUGGGGAGCAGUGUCCCCAGGGGUUGUUGGUUUGGUGUCUUUUUGGGGAGUGAGUGGUACUUGUCUUCUGUGAAGUCUUAGCCUAGUGGGGCUGGAGCUUGUGGUGGGAGGCGUGGCUGUGAGGGUAGGACGGGAGUGGGGACGUCUUCCUCAGUCCUGGGGUGGCAAAGCCUGAGACGCUGAAGAGGCGCUCCAGGUGCCUAGCAAGUCACUCAGAAGUGUUCCAGGAGCGGGGACAGCGUCCCUGAAUGUCGUCUGCAUCCCACGUGCAUCAGAAUCACACCACGCAUGUUUCUGGGUCCCAUCGGGCCUGCUAGUCAGACGCUGGGGCCAGCACCCGUCGUCUGCAUAGUUUCUAAGCUCCUGGAUGUUUUGAUGCUCAGACACACUGGGAAUUCUGUUCCGGAGGAGAGACUGCUCCCUGUGAGGAAAGCCAGGGAGGGGAUGGGUUUUUGUUGUUGUUGAGACAAGGUCUUGCUCUGUUGCCCAGACUGAAGUGCAGUGGCGUGAUCAUAGCUCACUGCAGCCUCCAACUCCUGGGCUCAAGCGAUCCUCCCACUUCAGCCUCUUGAGUAGCUGGGACUACAGGCAUGCACCACCACACCUGGCUAAUUUUAUUUUUUUGUAGAGACAGGGUCUCACUACGUUGCCUAGGCUGAUCUCAAACUCUUAGGCUCAAUGAUCCUUGGCCAAAGAACUGGGAUUACUGUGCCUGGCCCGGGGUGGGUUCUGAGCGGACUGUCUUACCCGCAGCCAGCUGAUUCAGUCCGCCCCGGUGUCCCAGAGAGCACCCCUCCAUCACCCUCUGGGGGUGGCCUGGCAUCUUUUGCAGCAGGGGAGGGAUGCAGUUUCCACUGGGGCCCUCUGGAGAUGAAUGAUGAAGAGGGCGCCUUGGCCGAGCCUGUCCCUGUCCUCUCUGGUAGCCUUGCCAACAUUCCACUAACCCCCGAGACUCAGCGGGACCAGGAGCGGCGGAUUCGGCGGGAGAUUGCCAACAGCAACGAGCGGAGGCGCAUGCAGAGCAUCAACGCGGGAUUCCAGUCCCUCAAGACCCUCAUCCCCCACACAGACGGAGAGAAGCUCAGCAAGGCAGCCAUUCUCCAGCAGACGGCCGAGUACAUCUUCUCCCUGGAGCAGGAGAAGACCAGGCUCUUGCAGCAGAACACACAGCUCAAGCGCUUCAUCCAGGAGCUGAGCGGCUCGUCCCCCAAGCGACGGCGGGCAGAGGACAAGGACGAAGGCAUAGGCUCCCCGGACAUCUGGGAGGACGAGAAGGCGGAGGACCUGCGGCGGGAGAUGAUUGAGCUGCGGCAGCAGCUGGACAAGGAGCGCUCAGUGCGCAUGAUGCUGGAGGAGCAGGUGCGCUCGCUGGAGGCCCACAUGUACCCGGAAAAGCUCAAGGUGAUCGCGCAGCAGGUGCAGCUGCAGCAGCAGCAGGAACAGGUGAGGCUGCUGCACCAGGAGAAGCUGGAGCGGGAACAGCAGCACCUGCGGACCCAGGUGAGCAGGAGGUGCCCGGGAGUGGACUCUGGGGACCGGGAAGGGGACAGGUGAUCUUGAAUGGCAGAAGCCUCUUCCUAGGCCACCUCCUCUCUGCUUCUUAAUAUAAAGGAGGAGAGAAAGUUAUUCACUGGCCGGCUCUGCAUGAAAGGGAGGUGGAUGGGCCAAGAGAAGCCUUGAGAGAAAGGCUGAGGGCCUCUGUCUUGCAGCUUCUGCCCCCUCCAGCCCCCACCCACCACCCCACGGUGAUCGUGCCAGCACCGCCUCCUCCUCCCUCCCACCACAUCAACGUCGUCACCAUGGGCCCCUCCUCGGUCAUCAACUCUGUUUCCACAUCCCGGCAAAAUCUGGACACCAUUGUGCAGGCAAUCCAGCACAUCGAGGGCACCCAGGAAAAGCAGGAGCUGGAGGAGGAGCAGCGGCGAGCUGUCAUCGUGAAGCCCGUCCGCAGCUGCCCGGAGGCCCCCACCUCUGACACUGCCUCCGACUCUGAGGCCUCAGACAGUGAUGCCAUGGACCAGAGCCGGGAGGAGCCGUCGGGGGACGGGGAGCUUCCCUGACUACCCCCCCAGCCCUCCUCUCCCUUCUGGGGGCUGGAGGGAGCCGGGGCAGCCACAGGGAGAGAUGUGGGUGAAUGAGUGAGAAAUUUUUACAAAAUUACGAUGUCAUUUGGGUCUCUUUUAUGACCUCUUUUUCAAUACUGUAAAUCGACCUUUGAACGAAGCCACUCAACCCGAGGUCCCGGGGCUGGGGUGUCGCAGAGCGUGUGGGAGCAUCGGGACCCCAGGGCUGGGCCUCGGCCCCAGGGGCUGGGGGAAGCUGACACGGAGAUGCCUGGCCUCUCUCUGCCAAAAAGCAUUUUUUCCUUUAAAUAUGUUUUUUAAGAACAGGGAAAAUUAAAACCCCAGGUUAUUUCUUCCCUGCCCAGAGCUAGCCUGGGAUUGUCAGCCUUCAAUCCCCUUUCCCUCCUCUUUUUGGGUUUUCUUCUUUCUCCUUUAAGCACUUACAUGGUUGGGGGUCAGACUAGGCUGGGGCGUUCUGGGGGCCCGGAGGUCUCCGUUGCUUCUCGGUUGGGGUUUGCUGCUGCUGUGCCCCCGUCCCUCUUCCCCAUCUCGGCACUAGAAUUUGCCACUCUCCUACCCCCCAGCCCCCACCUCUGCCUCCAGGUCUCAUCUUCCACCCCAAAAAUGUCUGUCUCUCUCUUUUUGUUUUGUUUGUUGUUGGUUUUUUAUUUUUUUUUUGGUUUGCUUUCUGUUUUUGUUUUGUUUUUCUUUUUCUUUUUUUUCUUUCUUUUUUUUUUUUUUUUUAACAAUUUUAAGGUCUUCGUGUUCAAGGAGAAGCUAUUAUAUUUUGUUAAGAAAGUGGGGAGAAAAAAACCAAGAGGCCACUGUGCCUUUGUAAAGAAACAAAAUAAAGUUUGUACUUUGUUUUUU